rnacentral:rRNA from 1 species
GUAGGCUGCAACUCGCCUACAUGAAGCUGGAAUUGCUAGUAAUCACAGGUCAGCAUACUGUGGUGAAUACGUUCCCGGGCCUUGUACACACCGCCCGUCACACCAUGAGAGUUGGAGAUACCCGAAGCCUGUGAGCUAACUUUUAGAGGCAGCAGUCGAAGGUAGAAUCAAUGAUUGGGGUGAAGUCGUAACAAGGUAGC